GAUGAACGCUGGCGGCGUGCCUAAUACAUGCAAGUCGAGCGAACAGACGAGGAGCUUGCUCCUCUGACGUUAGCGGCGGACGGGUGAGUAACACGUGGAUAACCUACCUAUAAGACUGGGAUAACUUCGGGAAACCGGAGCUAAUACCGGAUAAUAUAUUGAACCGCAUGGUUCAAUAGUGAAAGACGGUUUUGCUGUCACUUAUAGAUGGAUCCGCGCCGCAUUAGCUAGUUGGUAAGGUAACGGCUUACCAAGGCAACGAUGCGUAGCCGACCUGAGAGAGUGAUCGCCCACACUAGAACUGAGACACGCUCCAGACUCCUACGGUAGGCAGCAGUAGCGAAUCUUCCGCAAUAGGCGAAAGCCUGACGGAGCAACGCCGCGUGAGUGAUGAAGGUCUUCGGAUCGUAAAACUCUGUUAUUAGGGAAGAACAAAUGUGUAAGUAACUAUGCACGUCUUGACGGUACCUAAUCAGAAAGCCACGGCUAACUACGUG
rnacentral:rRNA from 1 species